GGUAGGACUGUUUUGCCCUUUGUAAAGAUGGCCGAAUAGGCUUCCGACCCUAGUGAGAGCAGAGUGCGAGUUUUCAGGAGUAUGGCUCGAGAAGACGAGGAAAAGCGAGUUUGUGGCUCCAGCGGAAAGUAGACAGAGCACUGCAGUCGCAACAGGCUUCUGAGGUGUUCCGAGAGCCCAGCGGACUGCCACCGUCUGGGCCUCGUUCCUGCGGGAAUCGUGACCAAGAUGUGGAACAGCGGAUUUGAAAGCUAUGGCGGCUCUGCCUUUGGCGGAGCGGGCGGCUACACACAGUCUCCUGGGGGCUUUGGAUCGCCGACACCUUCUCAGGCUGAAAGGAAA